UACGGAGGGUGCAAGCGUUAUCCGGAUUCACUGGGUUUAAAGGGUGCGUAGGCGGAUAGGUAAGUCCGUGGUGAAAUCCUGCAGCUUAACUGCAGAACUGCCGUGGAUACUAUCUAUCUUGAAUGUCGUGGAGGUUAGCGGAAUAUGUCAUGUAGCGGUGAAAUGCUUAGAUAUGACAUAGAACACCCAUUGCGAAGGCAGCUAACUACGCGAUAAUUGACGCUGAUGCACGAAAGCGUGGGGAUCAAACGGG
rnacentral:rRNA from 1 species